rnacentral:lncRNA from 1 species
UCCUAAACUCGGAAGGGUCAGCAGGGCCAGGAUUUUAGGGGUGCCAGCCCUCCCACUGCCGUCCUAGGAUUAACUCAGGACACACAGCUUCCUCACCGUCGUCGUGUGCAUGAGGAGCCGUCCCACAAUCUUCAGGAAGCAUGGCUGUGCCGGGUUUUGCCCACCAGGGUGCUGUCCCGGUCACGGUGAGUGAGCCGCGGAGG